rnacentral:rRNA from 1 species
UACGGAGAGUGCAAGCAUUAAUCGGAAUUAUUGGGCGUAAAGGGCGCGUAGGCGGGAGAAUAAGUCAGAUGUGAGAUUCCAAAGCUCAACUUUGGAGCUGCAUUUGAAACUAUAAUUCUAGAGGAUUGACGGGGAAAACGGAAUUCCACGUGUAGCGGUGAAAUGCGUAGAUAUGUGGAAGAACACCUGUGGCGAAAGCGGUUUUCUAGUUAAUACCUGACGCUGAGGCGCGAGAGCAAGGGGAGCAAACAGG